rnacentral:lncRNA from 1 species
GCAGAAGGAGCCUCGUAAGGGGCUCCGGAGCGUGGAGGGGGGUUGCGGCGCUGUGAGCCGUUUCACAGUCAGCGGAGUGAAGCCGCGCUGCUGCUGCCGGUGAGCGCUGAUCCCUUUUCCUGUUAAAAUUCGGACCUGGAAGAAAACAACUUAUUCGUGAGUAAAGACUGAAUCACUUGGAAUUACAAAUUUUAAAUGAGAAGGUUUAACUUGGCUUGAAUUUGGCUGAAAGCGGAGAGACGUGGAAACAGGAAGUCCGUCUUCCGCUGCCAUUGAACUUGAAAAAAAAGCAACUAAGGCGGAGGAGUGGAGGCUGAAAGAAAGAGAUUUUAAACUCUACACAGCCAAGCAUCUAUGGAACUUACAAUUUAAAGUAAAACUAGCAAGUUAAAGAUUUGGAUCUUUUAUUUGCACUUGACUUUCCCCCUUUUAUUGGAUUACAAAUUGGAAGGUGAAACCCAGAGUCAGGAUUGCUUGAGCACUGUAAGAGCGAGCUGCCAGUGUUGAUUUGGAUACUGUAUAUUAGAAGUUGCAACAAUCUGAGGGUAUUGAGACCUUUUAAAUUUGAAACAUUCUUUUUGGAGACAAAUAAGCACUGUCUGCAACAAAGUGAUUACUUUUAAACUCUGCUUAAUACUUAUAUUGGAAGGUUCUGGGACAUUAAAUCAGACUCUGAAAGACAUCUUAAGCUCCCUCUAGAGGAUUGGAUUAAAACAGUGACUUUACAAAUACAUUUACUUUCGAUUCCCUUGUUGUUUGCUUGCUCUGGGCCUUUCUAUUCCUGUGGGAAAAACUCAGUGUGACCUUGACUGAUAGAUAACAUUGGAAUGAGUGGUACAAGAAGAAGAGGAAGAGUUAGACAAACAACUCUAACAACUCUAACCUCAGCCUCGCAGACACGUAGAUCAUCUGUGCCUACUUUGCCCUCAGAAGUACAACUUGAAGAAGCUGUCUUGCCACAGGCAAAAGAGGGAGAGGGUGAAGCAGAGCAGUUACAAUUGGAAGAUAUGGCCUCAGGAGCAUCUGUUUCUGUGCUAGAAAAAUCUUUGAAAAAUUGGAAGCUUUGGACAAGAAAGUAGAUGCGCAAUCAGCAAAGAUUGAUAAAAAUACAGAUUGUCUAAACAAAUUAACUACACAGGUGGGACAGAAUACACAAGCAAUUGGACAGUUGACGGAGGCCUCAGUAGAAAACCGAAAAUUGGCUGAGGAUACCAGACAAAAAUUGGAAAAUUUAGAGCAAGAGGUAAGACCACUCACUAAACAAGUUGGGGAACAUCAGACUUAUCUUUCUAUGAUAGAACUGCGAAAUCGUGAGAAUAAUUUGAGGAUUAGAUCAUUACAAGAGGCAGAAGAAGGAAAUCUAACUGAGUUUUUGACCAAAGAACUUUCCAAGUUCUGGAAUUUGGAAGAAAAGGACUUUAAAAUUGUGUCAGCUUUCAGACUUGGAAGAUUUAUAAAGAAGGAGAGGCCCAGGGAUUGUUUGAUUACAUUGAGAUCGAAGGAGGAAAGGGAUAAGAUUUUGGGUCUACAUUACGAAAAGUCACUGGAGGUUUUGGAUAGAAGAAUUGAGAUAUAUAAAGAUAUCCCAAGACAACUGUUGGACCUUAGAGCCGCCUACUCUGAACUUGCUAAACUAUUAAGGAGCAACGCAAUUCCAUUCAGGUGGGAAUUUCCCCAAGGAUUAUCUUUUACCUUUAGAGCGAGAAAGGUUAAAAUUAGAACAUUGGAAGAGAGAGAUAAAUUUCUGGCUACAUACGGAGAGGACCUACAUAAAGGAAUUGAACUACCUUCCGGGCCUGGGGCAAAGCCAGCAUCAAUACCUCCACCUGGGGAACUUGAAGACCCAGAGAAGACACCACCCCGGGAGAAAUAACCAGACAGAUCCAGGAUGUCUCUGCAACUGUUGAGCUGGAAUAUUAAUGGUUGUAAUAUUCCGGAGAAAAGGAAGAAAAUAUUUCAUAUAUUAAAAAAGAACAAUUGGACAUUAUUUGUUUACAAGAAACACAUGUGACGAGGCUCCACAGAAAAGUGUUAAUAAAUAAAAGAUUGGGCCAGGAAUUUAUUUCGUCGGACAAAGUGAAGAAGAGAGGAGUGGUGAUAUAUGCAAAAGAGAGCCUGUCACCUAAAUUUCUAUUUAAAGAUGAACAUGGAAGGAUUUUGGCUAUUGAGAUACAAUAUCAAGGAGAGAAACUGCUGAUAUUAGGAAUCUAUGCGCCCAAUGAAGGGAAAUCGGAAUUUUACAAGAAGUUGCAGGGGACAAUGCUGGAUCAUCUGGAUUACAACAACAUCAUAAUGAUGGGAGACAUGAACGGGGUCGUGUCAACUAACAUGGACAAGUCGCAAAGUCAAAAUGUCACAAAAGAUGGCAGACUACCUAAACCUUUUUUGAAAUGACUGACAAUAUGGACUUGAUCGACAUUUGGAGAACAAAGAACCCACUAGGUAGAGAAGGAACAUUCUUUUCUGAAGCCCAACUGACCUGGACAAGAAUCGACCAAAUAUGGAUCUCUAGAGGCCUGGCACCUAGGGUUAGAAAAGUGGAAAUCUGCCCAAAGACCUGCUCUGACCACAACGCAGUAAAGAUGGAUAUGACACUACUACCAACUGGAUCCUUUAGAUGGAAGAUGAAUGACAAUUUGUUUAGAGAUCAGGAAAUUACCAAGAAGGCCCAAAAAGUUUUGAAAGACUAUUUCGAGAUAAACAUGAACAAUUCGGUGGAAAAAGAAUCGUCUGGGACGCAAGCAAAGCUGUCAUGAGGGGAUUCCUGAUACAACAGAAUGUAGU